rnacentral:rRNA from 1 species
AGUGAACGCUGGCGGUAGGCCUAACACAUGCAAGUCGAACGGCAGCACAGUAAGAGCUUGCUCUUACGGGUGGCGAGUGGCGGACGGGUGAGGAAUACAUCGGAAUCUACUUUUUCGUGGGGGAUAACGUAGGGAAACUUACGCUAAUACCGCAUACGACCUACGGGUGAAAGCAGGGGAUCUUCGGACCUUGCGCGAUUGAAUGAGCCGAUGUCGGAUUAGCUAGUUGGCGGGUUAAAGGCCCACCAAGGCGACGAUCCGUAGCUGGUCUGAGAGGAUGAUCAGCCAAACUGGAACUGAGACACGGUCCAGACUCCUACGGGAGGCAGCAGUGGGGAAUAUUGGACAAUGGGCGCAAGCCUGAUCCAGCCAUACCGCGUGGGUGAAGAAGGCCUUCGGGUUGUAAAGCCCUUUUGUUGGGAAAGAAAAGCAGCAGGUUAAUACCCCGCUGUUCUGACGGUACCCAAAGAAUAAGCACCGGCUAACUUCGUG